rnacentral:lncRNA from 1 species
CAAAGCCGGAGGAAGGUGCCAAGGGUUCAGAACCAAACGGAGAGAUGGAGCCCAAACGUGUGACCAGGGGUACGGUAUAUGGGCUGUUCUGCCAGAUUUAAAGAGUCCAGGAUGGGGCAGACCAGCGAGCCAGCCCCUGGAAGCUGGGGAAGGGGGCCGUCGAGUGGUAAAGCAGGGAAAUGAGGAAAGAAGACAGGUGGUGAGAGACAAUCUCCGGGAGCUGCUCCGGUGGGCUCUGGGGCAGCGAAGGCGUCAGGGUGCCAGCUGACACACAGCAUGGGGAAGGUGAUACAGUUACAGAAAUGGGGAGGUGGGGCCCGGAGGCGGGUUUGGAGGGAUGCACGAGAUGAACACACUGGAUGGGGAAGAUCACAGUAAAUUUUUCCUUCUUGUUCCUUUUCCCUCUUCUCUCCCUGAUUUUAUUUACUAUAGUGAGUCCAUGAAGGAAAGGGGUGUCUAAAUGAGAACAUAAGUCACUUGUACCUCCUUAAAUAGCCUUCUUCCUUCAACCCUUUCCUCGGGUUCACCUCUUCUAUCCCUGACCAAGAUCCGUGCUCCCUAACGGAAACCCACUGUCUUCAUCACCCCUACAGCACUUUUUAGGGAACCCACAGAGGAUUUCAGGUUCAGGGAAACAGCCGGUCCCAUCUUCCCUGCCUAACCUACAGACUCUCGGCACGGUUGUGGUCAGAACAGGAGAGGCUCUGAAGCCAACCCAAGCAUUCCACCGGUGACCCACUCGGGAACGGCAAAUUGAAGGCUACUGGGAGAAGUAGAUAGCAAUGCUCAGAGUGGUGAAAUCUGUCCAAGAUAUCCUGGUAACAGCUGAGCCACAUGAAGAGGAAAGAUGGGGGAAAGCUACAUUCAAGAAACAGAAAUAGGAAGCCCCAGGCCACCUUCAUGGAGAGCCUUACAAAAAUGGCACAGCUUUCAGAUUCUGUGUCUCCCUCUCUCUCUGCCCCUCCCCUG